CAAUGGUAAUUCAGUUGAUAGCAUAUUAGUUCCUUUCAAAGAUUGAUGCUAUUCCACACUCGCUUAUACCUUACUAGAUAGGUAUAUCUCUCUAUCUAUCAAAAUAAUGGCAGCUAAAAUUUUCAUAAGCAAAGCAUCCGGUGCUCUGCCCUUACAAUACAAGUGAUCAUGUCAGUUAUUCCGCUAUCCUGAAAUACAACCAUUCCCCUCUCAUCAUCACUUUUUUCUUGCUGUAACUUGUGAUUCCAAUUCCCUUUGUCACAACUGAGCAAAAAUCCACUAUAUAUAUGUUAUGCUGGAAGUGAAUGAGGCAAACCAAGCCAGUGUCACAUAGAUUUUAUCCCUUAAAACUUUCUUUUUUUCUCAAUCUGUCAAAACAGUUUCAAUAGUUAUGGCAAGCAUGAAGGCUGAAAAACCAGUUGGCACUCAGCUCUUUGGCCAAGCCAAGAAGGAGCCUGUCAAGGCUGGUGAGGGUUCAGCAAAAGCUACGGCUUCAAAGCCGGCUGUAAAGAAGGCUGCUGCACAAAAGCCUCAGGAAACCAAGAAGAAGGGCAAAGGAGGCAAAGGUGGCAAAGCCGCAGCAAAGUAGUAACUUUACUGAUUGGCUGAACAUGGUUUGCAAGACAAGGAAGCUACACCAAUAUGUGUUUAUGUUUCUUUAAUUUGUGUGUUUUUAUAUUCUGUCUUGAACUUUCCUGGUGAUCAGUGCAACUCCAUGUAUGUUAUACUGAUGGAAUAAAAAUAAAAUUUGAUAA